rnacentral:rRNA from 1 species
UGCAGUCGAGCGGUAGCACAGAGAGCUUGCUCUCGGGUGACGAGCGGCGGACGGGUGAGUAAUGUCUGGGAAACUGCCUGAUGGAGGGGGAUAACUACUGGAAACGGUAGCUAAUACCGCAUAAUGUCGCAAGACCAAAGUGGGGGACCUUCGGGCCUCAUGCCAUCAGAUGUGCCCAGAUGGGAUUAGCUAGUAGGUGGGGUAACGGCUCACCUAGGCGACGAUCCCUAGCUGGUCUGAGAGGAUGACCAGCCACACUGGAACUGAGACACGGUCCAGACUCCUACGGGAGGCAGCAGUGGGGAAUAUUGCACAAUGGGCGCAAGCCUGAUGCAGCCAUGCCGCGUGUGUGAAGAAGGCCUUCGGGUUGUAAAGCACUUUCAGCGGGGAGGAAGGCGAUAAGGUUAAUAACCUUGUCGAUUGACGUUACCCGCAGAAGAAGCACCGGCUAACUCCGUGCCAGCAGCCGCGGUAAUACGGAGGGUGCAAGCGUUAAUCGGAAUUACUGGGCGUAAAGCGCACGCAGGCGGUCUGUCAAGUCGGAUGUGAAAUCCCCGGGCUCAACCUGGGAACUGCAUUCGAAACUGGCAGGCUAGAGUCUUGUAGAGGGGGGUAGAAUUCCAGGUGUAGCGGUGAAAUGCGUAGAGAUCUGGAGGAAUACCGGUGGCGAA